AUGGCGGACCUUGGGUUGGGUCCCCCGUUUUCAAAGGCUCUACCAUUCCACUUUCCAAUUUCUCCCUCCCGUUUUCACUCUGCACCAAGGUCUCUCACCAUGGCUGCCGAUCAUCCCCAUUCCUACUCCUUUUCUAACCCUAACCCUAUUCCUGACCCAUCAACUUCCCAGCCUUCCUUGCUCGUCUUCUCAGGUGGCACUGCCUUUAAUGGUGUUGUGGAAGAGCUUAAAAAAUUAACAACUUGUGUUGCGCAUGUUCUCCCUGUUUCUGAUGAUGGAGGGAGUACUGCCGAGAUCGUUCGUGUGCUUGGUGGCCCAGCAGUUGGAGACAUACGAUCAAGAUGUUUGAGAUUGUCUGACCAAAGUACUUCAGAGGCUCUUGCUGUGCGCAAAUUGCUUGGUCAUCGCUUGCCUCUUGAUGCACAAGCAGCCAAAUUAGAAUGGUAUCAGAUUGUGGAAGGAGAGCAUGCUCUUUGGGAAGGGGUAUCAAAGCCCUACAGGGAAACAAUUCGAUCAUUUUUAGCUUACUUUCAGAAUCAGAUUCUUCGACGGUCUAAGGAAUCAUUUUGUUUCAGUAAUGGCAGCAUUGGGAAUUUUUUCUUUGCAGGAGCUCGCAUAUUCUUUGACUCUUUAGAUGCUGCAAUAUUUUUGUUUUCACGUGUUUCAGAUAUUCCCACAGAAAGUCUUAUCCUUCCAGUAAUUUCCACCAAUGACAGGCUUACACUGGGAUGUGAAUUGUGGGAUGGAUCUAUUAUACGUGGUCAGAAUGAGAUAUCUCAUCCAACAAGUGGAUCCAUGCAACCAAUAAACAAGGAAAUCUCUUCAGUUCCACCUCUACCUUCAGCAAUAAAGCGGGUGUUCUAUAUGUCAAGUGAAGGAAGAAAUUUGUUGCAUGAGGUGUUCCCCACAGCAAACCCAGCUGUGCUGGACCAGUUAAGCAAUGUAGAUUGCAUUGUUUAUGCUAUGGGCUCCCUCUUUACUUCCAUUUGCCCAUCACUGGUAUUACUUGGCAUAGGGGAGAUUAUCUCUUCAAGCUCUUGUUUGAAGGUACUUCUGUUGAAUGGUACACAUGAUCGAGAAACUAGUGGCUUCUCUGCUUCUAGAUUUGUAUCUGCCAUUACAGAUGCUCUAAAUCGAACUUAUGGAGAUCCUCAGAAUCGUCUUAAGAACCCUCCAAGUCAGUAUAUCAAUACUCUUCUAGUGCCCAAAGAUGGUCAAAUUCCUGUAGAUGUUCAAUGCUUGGCUUCACAAGGAAUCUUUCAUGUGAUAACUGUGGAUUCAAUAUGUGAUCCCGACAUGGGUAUAAUUUUUGACCCAAAAUCAUUAAUAAGAGCUCUGGCAGAUUUGAUAGGCAGACAAACGACCACAAAUGUUAUAGAGGCACAGUGAAUCUAUGGAAGCACAAACAAUAUUAGCAAGCUGAAAUUACACAUGACACCUGAUCUUGCUUCAUGUCAGGUCCAUUUUGAGAUGUUUAGCACAUCUUGUAGUGAUUCCAAAAAAUGAAAAUAUCGUGGGAUUCUCAGAAUCUCAGAUAGAUUUGUUCUGCCUCAUGUAUCCAGCAGGUGAUAUUGAUUCAAGGGGAUAUUUGAGGACAUAACCCAUUUGGUUUUUAUCAACUGAUAAAUGGGUAAGCCUGGUUCCCCUGCUCUGUGUUUCAAAUGCCGUGAAAUACUUGGUGUUGUAUGUUUGUUCCUCGAGUUUUUCCCUUCAAUCCAGUAAAUAUGGUGCAGUUGCGGUUUCCCCGAGUGCAGAAAGGGAAACCAUGACAUGUGCAGAAUUUAAGAUGUAUUUAUGUAUUCUGAAUAUGCAAACUUCAAAACAUGAUUAUAUUGUUCUCUCAGGUUAAAUCAUGGAUCAUGGUUAUUGGACGCCAUAUGAACCAGCAUUCUUGGCUACUGCCUUCCAAAAUUCUGCCUUAUUGUCACCUGGUUGGUUUCUUCCAUGCUCGUGUCUCUCUGCACGGUUGCCUCUUGCAGUGCUGGAGACAUGGUUUGAGAAACCCAGACACUAAGAUGAACAAAUCCUAUGAAAGACGCUAAGGUACUGUAGCAGCAUCGAAAUCCAAAUUUGGACUGUUGAAUAUGUUUGAUGAAAUUUAAAUA